rnacentral:rRNA from 1 species
UACGUAGGGGGCUAGCGUUGUCCGGAAUCAUUGGGCGUAAAGAGCGUGUAGGCGGCCCGGUAAGUCCGCUGUGAAAGUCGGGGGCUCAACCCUCGAAUGCCGGUGGAUACUGUCGGGCUAGAGUGCGGAAGAGGCGAGUGGAAUUCCUGGUGUAGCGGUGAAAUGCGCAGAUAUCAGGAGGAACACCGAUGGCGAAGGCAGCUCGCUGGGACGUGACUGACGCUGAGACGCGAAAGCGUGGGGAGCAAACAGG